UGGGGAAUAUUGCACAAUGGGCGCAAGCCUGAUGCAGCAACGCCGCGUGAGUGAUGAAGGCCUUCGGGUCGUAAAACUCUGUCCUAAGGGAAGAUAAUGACGU
rnacentral:rRNA from 1 species